rnacentral:lncRNA from 1 species
GUGGAGUCUCGAGCCUGGGUUGCACCUGCUCUUGGCCGGGAGGUGACUCCCAGAGCCGCAAUGCCAGCUCAUGAGGAUGGCUUUACCCAGGACGCGUUCAUGAUGCCAGCAAGGCAGAGCCACCAAAACAGAAAAAUGGAAGAUGCAUUUUGUGGAAAGAUUGUGUUAUUUGAAAUUUCAAAGCGAGCACUGCAGUUGUCCUCACAGACGGAGUUUCGCUCUUCUUCCCAUGCUGGAGUGCAAUGGCGCAAUCUCAGCUCACCCCAACCUCCGCCUCCUGGGUUCAAGCGAUUCUCCUGCCUCAGCCUCCUGAUUACCUGGGAUUACAGGCAUGUGCCACCACACCUGGCUAAUUUUGUGUUUUUAGUAGAGAUGGGGUUUCUCCAUGUCGGUCAGGCUGGUCUGGAACUCCUGACCUCAGGUGAUCCGCCCACCUCAGCCUCCUAAAAUGCUGGGAUUACAGGCGUGAGCCACCGCGCCCAGCCUAUAAAAUUGAUUCUUUAAAAAAAAUUAGAACAUUUACCGAUGCUGGACCCACCUUCCCCACCUUCAGGGUCCACUUUCUAGGUGGCCACAGUGCCUGCUUGGCCCCUGUAGCAUUUGAGUUUGCAACUCUGCUUUUGGAGUUAAACAUGUUUUAGGAGUCCUGGGAUUCUGAUUGAUGCUAUUGUCAAUUUGAUGAAAGAAAAAUUACUCCUGGG